AGCAGCCGCGGUAAUUCCAGCUCCAAUAGCGUAUAUUAAAGUUGUUGCAGUUAAAAAAGCUCGUAGUUGAAUUUCGGGAUCAGUACGCCGGUCGUGCCUUCGGUAUGUACUGGUGUCACUGAUUCCUCCCUUCUGACGAACCGUUAUGCCAUUUAUUUGGUGUGGCGGGGAAUCAGGACUGUUACUUUGAAAAAAAUUAGAGUGUUUAAAGCAGGCUCGCGCUUGAAUACAUUAGCAUGGAAUAAUGAAAUAGGACGUUUGAUUCUAUUUUGUUGGUUUCUAGGAUCGACGUAAUGAUUAAUAGGGAUAGUUGGGGGCAUUAGUAUUCAAUUGUCAGAGGUGAAAUUCUUGGAUUUAUUGAAGACUAACUACUGCGAAAGCAUUUGCCAAGGAUGUUUUCAUUAAUCAAGAACGAAAGUUAGGGGAUCGAAGACGAUCAGAUACCGUCGUAGUCUUAACCAUAAACUAUGCCGACUAGGGAUCGGAUGAUGUUAAUUUUUAAUGACUCAUUCGGCGCCUU
rnacentral:rRNA from 1 species